ACGCUGGCGGCGUGCCUAACACAUGCAAGUCGAACGGAGAUACGAUUUCGGUUGUAUCUUAGUGGCGAACGGGUGAGUAACGCGUGAGCAACCUGACUCUUAGAGGGGGGAUAACACUGGGAAACGAGUGCUAAUACCGCAUAAGACCACGACAUGGCAUCAUGACGAGGUCAAAGGAGCAAUCCGCUGAGAGAGGGGCUCGCGUCCCAUUUAGAUAGAUGGCGGGGUAACGGCCCACCAUGUCAACGAUGGGUAGCCGAGCUGAGAGGCUGAUCGGCCACACUGGAACUGAGACACGGUCCAGACUCCUACGGGAGGCAGCAGUGGGGAAUAUUGGGCAAUGGGCCGCAAGCCUGACCCAGCAACGCCGCGUGAGGGAAGAAGGCUUUCGGGUUGUAAACCUCUGUCCUUGGUGACGAAACAAAUGACGGUAGCCAAGGAGGAAGCCCCGGCUAACUACGUGCCAGCCGCCGC
rnacentral:rRNA from 1 species